rnacentral:rRNA from 1 species
UGCAGUCGAACGGUAACAGGUCUUCGGACGCUGACGAGUGGCGAACGGGUGAGUAAUACAUCGGAACGUGCCCAGUCGUGGGGGAUAACUACUCGAAAGAGUAGUUAAUACCGCAUACGAUCUGAGGAUGAAAGCGGGGGACCUUCGGGCCUCGCGCGAUUGGAGCGGCCGAUGGCAGAUUAGGUAGUUGGUGGGAUAAAAGCUUACCAAGCCGACGAUCUGUAGCUGGUCUGAGAGGACGACCAGCCACACUGGGACUGAGACACGGCCCAGACUCCUACGGGAGGCAGCAGUGGGGAAUUUUGGACAAUGGGCGAAAGCCUGAUCCAGCAAUGCCGCGUGCAGGAUGAAGGCCUUCGGGUUGUAAACUGCUUUUGUACGGAACGAAAAAGCUUCUCCUAAUACGAGAGGCCCAUGACGGUACCGUAAGAAUAAGCACCGGCUAACUACGUGCCAGCAGCCGCGGUAAUACGUAGGGUG